CGGUACUGCAGGCUUCUUGGUUGCCAAGAGGCAGACCACAGGCCUUCUUGAGGAGGACUUUACAUUCAAGUGCAGAAAGCAGCCAAAAUUACCAUCCAUGGGACUGAGCCUUCUGUGGCCCUGGCGAGACUUAAAAUUUGUGCCAAGGCAGGACAAGCUCACUCGGAGCAGCGUGUCAGUAGCUGGGGCCUGUGCAUGCCAGGCAAGGCCAAGCUGGCUCAAAGAGCAACCAGCCACCUCUGCAAGGGUGCGCCUAGUGCAGGCGGAGCAUCCACCACCUCACCCGCUCGAGGAAGUGGGGAUGGCCAGGUUCCCACAGCCUGAGUGUCUGCCACCUUAUUGCUGAUGGAGCAGAGGCCUUAAGAAAAGCAGAUGGCACUGUGGCCCUACCUUUAGGGUAGAAGAAGUGAUGUACAUGUCCGGCUGCUAGUUGGUAGCUCGUGCCC
rnacentral:lncRNA from 1 species